GAAAGGAAAUUCAUCAAAAGGAAGAGGAGGAAAAGAAAAAAUGAAAAGAGAAAAAAAAAAAAGGAAGAGAAAGGAAAUGAGAGGCAGAAAAAAACGGGGAAAAAGACAACUUUCAGAGUCUGGAAUUAAAACCCGAGGGAGGAUGUGAGUUCAUCCCACGUGAAGCUCAUUUUCUGGCCAACGAGUCGCAGGUCUCUGUCCCCCAUGAAAGUUCACAGGGAAUAUCCUGCUCAGAUCAGCUCGUUACCACAUGAACCCAGGAGUGGGGGCUGUAUGGAAAACCUCACCCUCCAAAAGCCAUGAGCCCCUGCCUACAGGGAUCUGACAGCAGGACCUGCCUUGUGGGACCCUCAGCAGAAGCCCCUCACCACAGCUGGUCCCACAUGCACUCUCCUCCUCUUCCUCCUCCAACCAGCAGACCCCAGCCUGCAGCACGACAUAGAUCAUGAUUUGCACCAGCGUCCAUCCAGGCUGACCAGGGCUGCUGAGCAGCCUCGGCGUGGGGACACAGCACCAGCUCAGGGAUGGACGGGUGGAGAGGACACCGGGACAUCCCCAUCCCACUGCUGCACAACACCCCAGGGACCACUUGCUGGUGAAGAACACAAGGUUGGAAGGAAAAAAAAAAUAAGAAAAAAGAGAAAAAGAGUCUCCAACCCCAGGAAAUCUGUGUUAAUUGCUUAUGAAUGUCUCUGUCUAAAAAAUUAUCGAAUUGAUGUUGUCGUGCUUUUUUUUGACAGGCUGUCUGUUACAUUUUUUUUAAAAUAUUCAUGCACUGAAAUCUAAUUACUAGGCAAAUUUAAUGAUAAUGAAAUGAAGGCACUUUAGCAGAAAGCACAGGGCCUUGUUAAUGUUUUCUCAGCCUCUGUCUUGUUCAUAUUUUUAAAAUUAUGUUUUUUUACAACUGUCUUUCUUGCCUAUGAAAAAAAAAAGAUUGCUGAAAAUAAAACUCGGAUUGUCGAUAA